rnacentral:rRNA from 1 species
GAGGGGUGCAAACGUUAUUCGGAUUUACUGGGUGUAAAGGGUGUGUAGACGGGUUAUUAAGUUCGUUGUUAAAUCUUCCGGCCUAACCGGAAGCUCGCGAUGAAAACCAAUAGUCUUGAGGAUGGAAGAGAGAAGUGGAAUUCUCGGAGUAGCGGUAAAAUGCGUAGAUCUCGAGAGGAACACCGAUGGCGAAGGCAGCUUCUUGGUCCAUUCCUGACGUUGAAACACGAAAGCGUGGGUAGCAAACAGGAUUAGAUACCCUGGUAGUCCACGCCGUAAACGAUGAUCACUAGAUGUUGGCCCCUGUUUUUGCAGGGUUAGUAUCGAAGCUAACGCGCUAAGUGAUCCACCUGGGAACUACGAUCGCAAGAUUA